UACAGAGGGGGCAAGCGUUGUUCGGAAUUACUGGGCGUAAAGGGCGCGUAGGCGGCCUGUUAAGUCAGACGUGAAAUCCCUCGGCUCAACCGGGGAACUGCGUCUGAUACUGGCAGGCUUGAGUGUGGCAGAGGGGGGUGGAAUUCCACGUGUAGCAGUGAAAUGCGUAGAGAUGUGGAGGAACACCGAUGGCGAAGGCAGCCCCCUGGGCUAACACUGACGCUCAUGCACGAAAGCGUGGGGAGCAAACAGG
rnacentral:rRNA from 1 species